UAUUAUAUAAUUCCCUUAAUAAAUAUGCAUGUGACAUUCCUUGCUUCUUGCAUUAAAAAUGUCCCAUCAUCAUGAGAUUGCCAGUAUUAUUCAGGGACAUAAAGACGGUGAAUAGGUAGAAUCAUUAGCACGCUGGACAAAAUGGUUCGCAGUAUUUCUUCCGAAUUUACUUUCUGUGUUCAGUUACUACCAAGGUUGAUUUCGCCUUUCAUUCUUUCGGGGUUGAUAGAAUAAGUAUCAUUUGAGCACUGUUGUCACUAUAAUUGACUUUCUCCUACCCCUGAAAUUGCUGGCCCUGUGCCAAAAUUUUAAACCAUUAUCCAGGAAAAUUCGAAAUUAUAAUGCAAUUACUAAUGCUCAGAAAUUUAGACAUGUUGCGGUAUUAACUUACAUAAAAUCGUUCAGAUCAGACGACAACUUAGAUAAUUCAGUGUCGUGUUAACAGUUUCUCCUUUGUUGACUCGCAGAAGUUUCCAUGAGUGUUAGGAGUCUUUGUAAAGGACUCAGAACAAUACAAACAAAACUAAGCUUUAACCAUCUAAUCCUUAAACCGACGGUGUAAAGCACCGAUCAGCUAUCGUUGUUUUCAUAUAUAAAGCAAAGUAUAAGAGAGUUAAGGAAACAAUGGAGAGAUAGAAAAAAGAAAGAAAGGAGAAGAAAGAAAAGAAGUGAUGAAAUAGUUUUGUGACGCCGGCUUUUACAUCAUAAUAUCACAACAAUCAAUAUGGUGUGAAGACUGUAACGUUGGGACGGAGAUUUGGAGAUUUAAGACAGGCUCUUUUGGUGAAAGUGACGCAUUAACACCAACUGGGACAGGACGAGCCAUCGAGGGUGCCUUAAACAUGGUCACUUGAUCUACUGGAAAUAGCAACAAAAUCUCUCUCAAGCUUCAUUGCAAGUUACAGUCAUGGAAAAAGACACGUUCUAUAAUCCUUUUUACUAUAGGCACAAGGCCUGCAAUUUGGAGAGGAGAUAGUCGAUUUCAUCGACCCCAGUGCGUAACUGGUACUUAUUUCAUCGACCCUUCAUCAGUUGUCGGCUAUCUAUCUACUCCUCAUUUCAAGCAUUGAACGAUAGAUAUAUGUAUGUGUAAGUAUGUACAUAUAUAUACACACACACAGACCCGUGUGUAUAUGCAUGUAUGUAUGUAUGCAUACAUACAUGUAUAUAAAUAAAUAAAUAAAUAAACCAGUGGUUUACCGUUAAGUUAAAUGUUUAUAAAAGAUUAAUUUUGAAAGCUGCAUUCCCUCGCUUUCGCUGAACGGGUUUGUUAUUGCAGUAGAAACAGAAUAGCAAAGAUGGAAGCAGAAACCAAAAUUGACACUGAAGCCGAUCUUGUCUAUAUACAAUGUCAACGACACUAGUUUAUCGAUAAAACUAUUUCUAUGUAAUAUGCGGUGCAGAAGCAGAUAUAAGUUCUCUUAAUAAACGAUUUUGGAGAAUCUGAGAGUUUACCAACGAUAAGAUUGCGUUGUUAAGGAUGCAACAGCGUUUCAAGUACAGUAGGUCACGCAUACAUUAUGGCGGACAUAGUGAAAUCAGAGAAAACCCCGAGAGAAAUAAAUUCGAUAGAGUAGGUAGAAAUAAAACCCUUUUAGUACCUUUAUCAUGUCACAGAGUUUUAUAUAUUCUAUCUAGUAUCUUUUACUUGUUUCAGUUUUUAGACAGCAGCCGAACUGGGGCAUCUCCUUGAAGGAUUUGGUUGAACAAAUCGAUUCCUGUACUUAUUUUUUAAAAGUCUAGUACUUCUUUUAUCGGUCUCGUUAACUUACGGGUCUGAAAAAACCAACACCGGUUGUCAAGCGAUCGUAUGGGACAAACACAACACAGAAACACACGGUUGCACACACAUAUACACAUGCGCGUGGGCACACACGAGUAUAUAUACGCAAAACACGAGUAUAUAUACACGACAGGCUUCUUUCAGUUUCCGCCUCCCAAAUCCACUUACAAGGCCCAGGGCUAUAGAGGGAGAAACUUACUCUGGGUUCCGCACAGUGGAACUGAACGCAAAACCACAUGGGUGGGAAUGAAAGUUGUAACCACAUGGCCUCGUCUACGCCAGUACGUACAUACAUAUACACACACACACAUAUACAUACAUAUAUAUGACUAUGAAUAUAUCUAUAUGAAUAUAGUAAGAGUACUCGAUAUAAAGAGUACAGUGUAGAUGCCGUGCAGAAUAGAAAUUCAAUGUUUCUGACA